GACGUAGGGCGCGAGCGUUGUCCGGAUUUAUUGGGCUGAUGAAAGAGCUCGUAGGCGGCUCGUUGCGUCAAUCGAUGAAACCUACUGCUUAACGGUGGGCUUGCGGUUGAUACGGGCGGGCUGGAGUUCGGUAGGGGAGACUGGAAUUCUGGUGUAGCGGUGGAAAUGACGCAGAUAUCAGGAGGAACACCGGUGGCGAAGGCGGGUCUCUGGGACCGAUACUGACGCUGAGGAGCGAAAGCGGUGGGGAGCGAACAGG
rnacentral:rRNA from 1 species